rnacentral:lncRNA from 1 species
AGUGACUUCUGGAAGUGACCCAGGAAGUGACAUUUUAGCUUUAGGUUUAAUUGGUUCGACUGCCUUCUCCACAAUUUGGGCGAGAAUUUCCUUUGCCUUCUCAGCAAAAGUUGUUCUGCGGACCCGUCUGGGUCAACUUUCAUGAGGGACAUUGAGACAAACAAAUGAAAUAUGGGUUAAAGUACUCUGAGCAGCUACAAAAAGAAGACCAGUCUAUCCUGCUGGAGACAGUGGCCACGUGAAGAAAGAGCUCUUGCAGUAUGAAAGACCACAUGGAAAGAGAGGCCACAUGGAACCAACAGUCAGCAUCUUGGUUUCGGACACGUGAAGAAAUUCAUCUCAGACUGUGUAUCCUAAAUCAGGCACUUGCUGAAUCUAACUACAUGAGUGAGACCAGUUGACAACACAUGGAGCAGACAUGAGCUGUUCUCAGUGAGUCCUACACAAAUUCCUGACUCACAACACUGUGAGCAAUAAAAUGGUUGUUAUUUUAAGC